GUACUGCGGAGGACAUUAUCGAGUUCUUGAAAUGGGUUGUAGCUGGCCUUCCGAGGCAUGUGCACGCCCUGCUCAAUCCACUCUACACCUGUGCACUUACUGUAGGUUUCUUGGUUGCGUUGGGUCUCUUCACUGGGGCUCGGCAAAGCCGAGGGGCUUAUGUCUUACUACAAACUAUAAAGUAAAUGAAUGUAUACCGCGUCUAACGCAUCUAUAUACAACUUUCAGCAACGGAUCUCUUGGCUCUCGCAUCGAUGAAGAACGCAGCGAAAUGCGAUAAGUAAUGUGAAUUGCAGAAUUCAGUGAAUCAUCGAAUCUUUGAACGCACCUUGCGCUCCUUGGUAUUCCGAGGAGCAUGCCUGUUUGAGUGUCAUGAAAUUCUCAACCUACAAGCCUUUUCGGAGGUCCUUGUACGGCUUGGACUUGGAGGGUCAUUGUCGGCAGUGAUGUCGGCUCCUCUUAAACGCAUUAGCUAGUUCUCGCGGAACGGCUUUCGGUGUGAUAAUUGUCUACGCCGUGGUCGUGCCGGGUAUAUGAACAAGCUUCUAAACCGUCACUCCUUGUGAGGGACACAUAUCUUGACAUCUGACCUCAAAUCAGGUAGGACUACCCGCUGAACUUAAGCAUAUAAAAACGGGGGGGGAAAA
rnacentral:rRNA from 1 species